AUUACCUAAUGGCAGCUGAUAAGUUGGAGAGGUAGUCUCUGUGGAAGCUAAUCCUCUUGUCAUCUUGUAAUGCUUUCUCCAUGUCUUUGAAUGGGUUGUUCUUCUCAUCCAUACCGUUUUCUGUGAUGAAGACAGGAGGGUUUCCGUAGACGUCUUUGAGAUACACUGCUAGUUUCCUGAUUCCCCAUGGGACUAUGUGUAGCCAGCUUGAUCCUGCCUAAUGUCAUUGUCAAGUACUCCUCCUCGAAAUGCUACAACAAUUAGUGAGCAAACAAGAACAUCAGUAGUGAAGAUAUGAUCUGAGAGAUAGUGUGUGUGUGUGUAUGGAUCUUACAGCUUGUGAUCACUGCUGCAUCAGAAGAAGCAUCUUGUAGAAUCAGUUUCCUUAUCCUUGUUCUGUCGUUCCUUGUGUACAGUGUCGUGUAGUGGUUGAUUCCAAAGAAGUCAAAUGCCCCUUUUAUGGUUUUAGACAUC